UACAUGGUUAUAAAUACAAACAGGUGUAGAA
rnacentral:piRNA from 1 species